rnacentral:lncRNA from 1 species
AGUAAGCCAAGAUUCCUGGUGCAAUUGAUGAAAGCAAAUCCUCACUCUCACUCAAAGCAAUACACGCCAAAGGCAUGAGAAGAAUUCUGAAAUUUUGAUUAAAAGCUGCCUCUUACAAUUGUUUCUUAUCCUUAUAUAGUAAGGAGAAAAACAAAUAAAACCCUAAGACACUCUUCUUGGACCUGACUUAAACACAUAAGGCCCAAGCCCAAUCACACACUAAAAUAACACAUAAGUAUUAAAACAUAAGCCCAAAACAUGGCCCAACACUCUAAAACUUAAAAGAUAAAGUAUGGCCAGAAUACAAGCCCAAACAAAGCUAAAAUAAAACAAGUGUUAAAUAAUAAAAAUAUAGCAAAACCAUCAUAACAAAGCUGAAUCUUCACAAAAGCCUUACUUGAUCUUCACUUUAGGCUUCCCUUUGUGUAGUUUUAGCCCAUAGGUUUGAUUAGGCUCCCUAAGCCUAUGAUUGCAAGUAUUGCACCAAAUCUAUCCUAUAUGAGUUGAAGCACGCCCCAAAUAUAUAUGGAUCAUAUGAAUAUGAUUUUGAACUCCUUUUAGAUCCAUUUGAAUGACAUAAGUUUGCUCCACACCAUUGUUAGAAAUUUGCCCUAUUGGAUCCGUAUCAUUCUCUCCUUCUUUAGAAAAGAUUCGUCCUCGAAUCUUGCUGAUAUUUAUGUCAAAAAGGGAAGCUUUAGGAACCCAUGUAUCUUCAAAGACCUCCUUUUGAAUAGGUGGAAAUAGGAUAAAACUUUCAUCAUGAAUGUUUUCAUCAACAACCUGCACAUCAAGAACAAAUGAACUAGGCAUAAAAAUAUUAGUCAUAGAAAAAUCUUGUGGAUGUGACCCAUUCUCCUCUACAACUUCCAAAACAGUCUCAUUCGCCUCCUCCACCUCAUCAAUCAUGUGCUCCCCAUGUCCCUCAUCAUUCACAACCUCUUCUAUAAGUUCAUUGAUGGAAUUCUCAACAAUAACUACAUUAGAUUCAUGCAUUACAACUUCCUCUUCAAUUUCAAUCUCUAUGGAAGUUGAGAUUGGAACUUUAGCCUCUUCUUUCUUCUUUUCUUUCUCCACUUUCCCUCCUUGAACUAGUCUUGAUUCUUUUCCAGCCUCUUUACCCUCAAACUCACUCUUUUCUCUCAUCUUUUCCGCAGAAUUCAAGCUCUCACUCCCCUUUGUGGCCAAGGCCGAAGCCUCCCUCUCCCUCUCCAGCAUCUUUAUUUAAUCAACAUAUACCUCUUGAGGUGAUAAAGGAGCGAGUAUAACCUUCUGUCCUUCAUGAGUGAAGGAGUACUUGUUAUUGAAACCAUCAUGUUGCACCUUUCUAUCAUGUUGCCACGGCCUACCCAACAACAUAUGGCUUGCCUGCAUAGGUACCACAUCACACAAUAUCUCAUCCUUGUACCUACCAAUAGAAAAUGGUAUAACCACCUGGCGUGUAACCCUAACCUCACCACAAUCAUUCAACCAUUGCAAUCUGUAUGGCUUAGGGUGUUCAAUAGAAGCCAAGCCCAAUUUCUCCACCAUAUACACACUAGCCACAUUUGUGCAACUACCUCCAUCAAUAAUGAGAGUACACACUUUUCCAUUAACCAAACACCUAGUGUGAAAUAUGUUUUCCCGUUGUUCUAGGCUUUCUUUCUUAACCUGCAUAUUCAGAGCACGCCUAGCAACAAGCAUCUCACAAUAUGCAGCAAGCAACACAUUAUUAACCAACACAUCCGAAUCAUCACAGUCAUUAUUGCAAUUAAGAGUUCUUUGAGGUAUUCUUGUAGAAGUGGAAGUUUGUGAGACAUUCAAAUUCUUCAUAGUUCCAGUUAACCUCUCAAGAGUCUUAUUGAGCCUUGACCACUGACUGACUUCUUAAAGAGCUUAUAAUCGUUACCCAUAUUCGAUUCACUUCCAUCAGUACGAUCCACCACAUUCUUGUCUUUACUCAUCCUACCUUAAAUCAACAAAGAACAAAAAGGACUAGCAAAUAUUAUAUUAAAAAAGAAAGUACUCAAGUGUUUGCACUCUUACCAUUCUUUUGUUGAUUCUUCAAUUGCACUUCAGAAACUAAGGUCAACCAACUAACCACAAGGUGCGUUUAAUGAAACAAAGAAGAAAUACUAAAGAAAGAAGGAAGCGCGCAAAAACUAGAAAGAAGACACUGACAAUUUGGAAAGUAACACAUGAACUAGGUUUUGUGCUACUUGAAAAAUAUCACCUAGAGUAUAGACACAAGCAAACAAUACUCCAGCAAUGUAAAAGAAGCAAAAGCAAGCUUAAACAAAAAAAGAAACUUAGAAAUCAAAUAAUAACGAACCUGGACAAAAAAUAUUGCAUUUAAUUCACUUUAACGCAAAUUAAAUAUGGAUCUACUUAAAUCUACCCAAAAAGGAAAGUAUCAAAACCCCACAAAUAGAAUCAGAAAAGAAAAAUGUAAAUUUCUCUCAGAUCAGAAACAUGGACGAAAAUUCUGGUAUUAAAAGAAGGAUUUGACAUCAAAUCAAUUUAGAUGCAAUUGCCCAAAAUGUGCACUUUAGGAAAUAAGCAGAAUUUCUUUUAUCUCCUAAUCUGGAUUCGACCAAAUUCAAAAUUCAAAAUUCAAAUUGAUUCCCAUAAAUUACUGCAAUUAAUUGAGAUAGGUAAGGUAAUAUAGAUGAAAAAGGAAGCAUAUCACAAUUUCGGCCAAAUCAAGGUAAAUAAAGCAAAGGUGAUUUUUUUUUUUUGGAUUUUAAUUUUUUUUUCUGAUUAAUAAUCAAGAAGGUGCAGCCAUGGACACACAAGCUUUCACCGAAAACAAUAAAGAAGAAAAUGAAAACUCAAAAACCCUAGAUCCUAAGAUAAAUCAGAAUUUACCUCACUUUGGCUUUGAUACCAACUGACGUAGAACCCUAUGGCACAAACCUCAAACCCACACGCACAAGUAGAUAUGGAAUCCAAAGAUUUUGAAAAACUCACCUCCUAUGGCACCCCACACUUAGAGAAGCUGAAACACCAAUGAUCGAAGGAUUUAGAUGAGAAUCUGACAAACGCCACAACGAAUAGUUGAUAAGUAAGCCAAGAUUCCUGGUGCAAUUGAUGAAAGCAAAUCCUCACUCAAACUCAAAGCAAUACACGCCAAAGGCAUGAGAAGAAUUCUGAAAUUUUGAUUAAAAGCUGCCUCUUAUAAUUAUUUCUUAUCCUUAUAUAGUAAGGAGAAAAACAAAUAAAACCCUAAGACACUCUUCUUGGACCUGACUUAAACACAUAAGGCCCAAGCCCAAUCAUACACUAAAAUAACACAUACGUAUUAAAACAUAAGCCCAAAACAUGGCCCAACACUCUAAAACUUAAAAGAUAAAGUAUGGCCAGAAUACAAGCCUAAACAAAGCUAAAAUAAAAUAAGUGUUAAAUAAUAAAAAUAUAACAAGCCCAUCAUAACAAAGCUGAAUCUUCACAAAAGCCUUACUUGAUCUUCACUUUAGGCUUCCCUUUGUGUGGUUUUAGCCCAUAGGUUUGAUUAGGCUCUCUAAGCCUAUGAUUGCAAGUGUUGCACCAAAUCUGUCCCAUAUGAGUUGAAGGACGCCCCAAAUAUUUAUGGAUCAUAUGAAUAUGAUUUUGAACUCCUUUUAGAUCCAUUUGAAUGACAUAAGUUUGCUCCACACAAUUGUUAGAAAUUUGCCCUAUUGGAUCCGUAUCAAACUAACGCGGAACCCUAUGGCACAAGCCUCAAACCCACACGCACAAGUAGAUAUGGAAUUCAAAGAUUUGAUAAACCCACCUCCUAUGGCACCCCACACUUAGAGAAGCUGAAACACCAAUGAUCGAAAGAUUUAGAUGAGAAUCUGACAAACGCCACAACGAAUAGUUGAUAAGUAAGCCAAGAUUCCUGGUGCAAUUGUUGAAAGCAAAUCCUCACUCUCACUCAAAGCAAUACACGCCAAAGGCAUGAGAAGAAUUCUGAAAUUUUGAUUAAAAACUGCCUCUUACAAUUGUUUCUUAUCCUUAUAUAGUAAGGAGAAAAACAAAUAAAACCCUAAGACACUCUUCUUGGACCUGACUUAAACACAUAAGGCCCAAGCCCAAUCACACACUAAAAUAACACAUAAGUAUUAAAACAUAAGCCCAAAACAUGGCCCAACACUCUAAAACUUAAAAGAUAAAGUAUGGCCAGAAUACAAGCCUAAACAAAGCUAAAAUAAAACAAGUGUUAAAUAAUAAAAAUAUAGCAAGCCCAUCAUAACAAAGCUGAAUCUUCACAAAAGCCUUACUUGAUCUUCACUUUAGGCUUCCCUUUGUGUAGUUUUAGCCCAUAGGUUUGAUUAGGCUCCCUAAGCCUAUGAUUGCAAGUGUUGCACCAAAUCUGUCCCAUAUGAGUUGAAGCACGCCCCAAAUAUAUAUGGAUCAUAUGAAUAUGAUUUUGAACUCUUUUUAGAUCCAUUUGAAUGACAUAAGUUUGCUCCACACCAUUGUUAGAAAUUUGCCCUAAUGGAUCCGUAUCAUCUUUCUUUCCACGGGAGGGACUGCGUAUUGGCUCAUUAAAUCUGUCACGUGGCACUUUCUUAUGGUAACAACUCAUAAACAUUGAGCGACUAUUGUGUUACAUCACUAUCUAUUGAUAAGAGCGUAAAGUAAUUUUAGUUACAUUUUUAAAUAAUUUAGUUGAAUUAUUAGACUUUUUAAAAUUUAGGACGUGCUCAUAAAAUCUUUUUGAUAAAGUUGGUGAAAAUAUAAAUAUGAGAUUUAUUUGUUCUCUCUAUGUUGUUAAUGAUAAUUUUAAUAUAUAAAUAUGAAUAUAAAUAAAUAUACACUUUUUUGUGUUUUUAUCUCCAAUCAUAACUGAAAGACUUAUCACGCCAACUAUUGGAAUUGACUUGUCCCUUGGUCCCCAUCAAAGCAUAAAGGACAUUAGAGAGAUCCUUCUUUUACAGCACUAGCUUCUCCUGUAAAUAGAGGAUUAUCAGAUUUUAGUAUAGCUCCUCCAUUAACAUAAUUUUAGUGCCCUCACAUAUAUGCUUCUCUCUCUUCUUUUAAGCAAACUCAUUUCAUUUGAAGAAAUAUUUAUCUCUCUUUUCAAGCUAAUGAUUUCUAAAAUCUUUUGCUGAUGAGUCUUUUAAUCUCAUUCUUCAAGUUUCUACAAUUCUCAAUCGCAUGACUAUAAUCAUCAUGUAAUUAAUAAAACUUACUUCUGACCCUUUUUCCAAGUUUGUCAAGAUUCAACUUUCUUGGAUGCCUGACUAAUUCCUCAUUCUUCUGGAUCCAUAGUAACACCCUAUCUUAUUUUAGUCAAGGUUGUAUAGUUUAAGAAUCUAUCUCAUCCUUUCUCCAACAAUCUCCUCCUCAUCCAUCUAAAACAAACCUCCUCUUCUCCUUCAUUUUCGUCUUUUGUGCCUACUUCACAUCAUUUAGGAAAAUGUGUUUUUUUUUUAGCCUUUUCCAUCAACUAAUAGCUACUCUUGUUGGGUUUAUUGUUAGGUUUGUAAUUAGAAACUCAACAAAUCUAAUGUUUUGACAACCCUUCUUAAUGGCUUCAUAAGUAGUUUUAUGAGUCAAGUUAUCAACCUGGAUGGCUUUUAUAUUGAAUAUAUUUGCGUAACUUCUUAGUGACUCCCUAUCUCUUUGGAGGAUUUUUAUAGUGGAUAGUUUUCUUGGCUACAAGUGAUAAAUAUUUUUUGAAAGCAUAAGAUAGUUCUUUAAAAUCAUAAAUGAAAUUGUGGAGCAGGUGUUGGUACCAUUUUUAGGCUAAGCCAAUUAGCUAGGAUUGAAGGGAACACACAAUAGAGUAUCAGAUUGUUCACAUUCUAGAAGAGUAUAGUUGUUUGAAAGUUAGCUAAAUGGCUAUAGUGGUUUGUUCACCAUAUUUUUCUAGGGAAGGGAGAUUGAAUUUAGGAGGAUAUGAUAUCGACCAAGAUUUUAGGUGAGAGGGGAGAAACAUCUCCGAUUUCAAAAUCAUACUCAAAGUGUUUUUUUUUCCUUAUAGCAUCCAUCAGUCUAGCAUCAAGCAGGCCCUGAUUACCAUCAUUCAAUUUUCUCAAUUUGACUCCAUAACUUCCAGUUUAAUUUUCCAUAGUGUCCUCUCUAUUUUCACAAUAAUUAUGUGGGUUUUAGAUCUCUCAAGGAACCCGAUAUUCCUAUCAUUCCUUAAUAGUUUAGUAUGCAUCAAUUUUAACUUUUCCCACAUCUACUCUUGAGUCAUUGAUUCAUUGAUUUGCAUGUUUUCAACACUUUCCAGAUUACCAUUAAUAAUACUAUUGGAUGAGUUGUCAAUUCCCUUAAUGUUAUUCUAUUCCAUUGUUGGCAUCCAAAAUAUCAAUACGAUAAGAAACCAUUGUUUAUGAAAAAUAACGAGAACAAUGAAUAAACAAUUUAUAGUCUAAUGAGAAAAGAUGAAUCUUCCUACAAAUAGUGGCAAUGGUUGACGCGGAACCCUAUGGAACAAGCCUCAAACCCACACGCACAAGUAGAUAUGGAAUCCAAAUAUUUGAUAAACCCACCUCUUAUGGCACCCUAAACUUAGAGAAGCUGAAACACCAAUGAUCAAAGGAUUUAGAUGAGAAUCCGACAAACGCCACAACGAAUAGUUGAUAAGUUAGCCAAGAUUCCUGGUGCAAUUGAUGAAAGCAAAUCCUCACUCUCACUCAAAGCAAUACACGCCAAAGGCAUUAAAAUAAUUCUGAAAUUUUGAUUAAAAGCUGCCUCUUACAAUUGUUUCUUAUCCUUAUAUAGUAAGAAGAAAAACAAAUAAAACCCUAAGACACUCUUCUUGGACCUGACUUAAACACAUAAGGUCCAAGCCCAAUCACACACUAAAAUAACACAUAAGUAUUAAAACAUAAGCCCAAAACAUGGCCCAACACUCUAAAACUUAAAAGAUAAAGUAUGGCCAGAAUACAAGCCCA